rnacentral:tRNA from 1 species
UGGGGUGUAGCUCAGUAGUACAGCACUCGCCUGGCAUGCACGAAGCCCUGGGUUCCAUCCCCAGCACCCAAC